GAUCAUGGCUCAGGAUGAACGCUGGCGGCGUGCUUAACACAUGCAAGUCGAGCGAAGCACUUAAGUUUGAUUCUUCGGAAUGAAGUUUUUGUGACUGAGUGGCGGACGGGUGAGUAACGCGUGGGUAACCUGCCUCAUACAGGGGGAUAACAGUUGGAAACGACUGCUAAUACCGCAUAAGCGCACAGGAUUGCAUGAUCCAGUGUGAAAAACUCCGGUGGUAUGAGAUGGACCCG
rnacentral:rRNA from 1 species